CCUACGGGUGGCAGCAGUGGGGAAUAUUGGACAAUGGGGGGAACCCUGAUCCAGCGACGCCGCGUGAGUGAAGAAGUAUUUCGGUAUGUAAAGCUCUAUCAGCAGGGAAGAAAGUAAUGACGGUACCUGACUAAGAAGCCCCGGCUCACUACGUGCCAGCAGCCGCGGUAAUACGGAGGGGGCAAGCGUUAUCCGGAUUUACUGGGGGUAAAGGGAGCGUAGACGGUUACGCAAGUCUGGAGUGAAAGGCGGGGGCUCAACCCCCGGACUGCUCUGGAUACUGUAUAACUGGAGUGCAGGAGAGGUAAGUGGAAUUCCUAGGGUAGCGGUGAAAUGCGUAGAUAUUAGGAGGAACACCAGUGGCGAAGGCGGGUUACUGGACUGUAACUGACGUUGAGGCUCGAAAGCGUGGGGAGCAAACAGGAUUAGAUACCCGUGUAGUC
rnacentral:rRNA from 1 species